rnacentral:rRNA from 1 species
GACGAACGCUGGCGGCGUGCUUAACACAUGCAAGUCGAGCGGUAAGGCCCUUUCGGGGUACACGAGCGGCGAACGGGUGAGUAACACGUGGGUGACCUGCCCUCAGCUCUGGGAUAAGCCUGGGAAACCGGGUCUAAUACUGGAUAUGACUCCAUGACGCAUGUUGGUGGGGUGGAAAGCCUUGUGCGGCUGAGGAUGGGCCCGCGGCCUAUCAGCUUGUUGGUGGGGUGANGGCCUACCAAGGCGACGACGGGUAGCCGGCCUGAGAGGGCGACCGGCCACAC